GACGUAGGGCGCGAGCGUUGUCCGGAUUUAUUGGGCGUAAAGAGCUCGUAGGCGGCUUGUCGCGUCGACCGUGAAAACUUGGGGCUCAACCCCAAGCCUGCGGUCGAUACGGGCAGGCUCGAGUUCGGUAGGGGAGACUGGAAUUCCUGGUGUAGCGGUGAAAUGCGCAGAUAUCAGGAGGAACACCGAUGGCGAAGGCAGGUCUCUGGGCCGAUACUGACACUGAGGCGCGAAAGCGUGGGGAGCGAACAGG
rnacentral:rRNA from 1 species